CCGGAGCCCGGUCUGAAAGAGGGCCCUUGUCAACUUCCCCUGCCUUUGAAGUGACUGGGAUGGAGGUGCUCAAUUAAAAGCCCAUCAGUCUGUUCUCUCUGGAAUCAGCUGCUCAGCACUCCAGUGUGAAUUCAUUCAACCCACAUCAAGACCCAGCAGUGAAAUAGUGUCUUUGUCGUCGACAUUGCUAGAUGUGUUGCCCCAUCCCAAGCGUCAGUGAGGCCUUUCACCGAGGUAUGAUGUGUAAAAUCAAGGGAGGCAUGGGAACAUUUCUGAAGAACUUUAGACAGAUACUCGCAAAACAUCUCCAAGUCAUUUGCCCAGGGGGCAAAGAAGAGCCCAAAGGAAAUCUUGUCCUUCUAGAAGAAUGUUACAGCUCAUGACAUCUAAUACAUAACCAGGUAUAUUUGACACGACCACUCCAUUCCAGGCUUUGCCAGAGUUCCGUGCUAUAGCUGAGAAUUCCCAGACGUGGAGCUGCGCUCCGUACAAGGUGGCAGAGUGGGGCAGAGGCUCAGAAUCCAGACUGCAAUUCAAAACCAGGCUUCAAAUAUUGGCUGUGCUGCUUGCCUGCUGUGAGGCCAUGGGCAAACACUUGAACUCCUUGUGUGUGUUUCCCCAUCUGUUAAAUUGGGGUGAUAACAGUCCUGGCCUCAUAGGGUUAUAUGACAAUUAAAUGCAUGUAAAACAUUCACAACAGUGCCCGACAGAUAGUGUACACUCAGUAAUGCUUGUCAGGAUGAUUGCCCCUCAUACAAAGUGGUCUCGUGAAGAUACAAUCAGCAUGAUAGGAAGGCACUUAGUAAAUGAAUGCAAUUGUCUUCUUGUAUUUAAA